rnacentral:lncRNA from 1 species
GUAUUUUUAGUAGAGACAGGGUUUCACCAUGUUGGUCAGGCUGGUCUCGAACUCCUGAGCUUAGGUGAUCCGCCCACCUCGGCCUCCCAAAGUGCUGGGAUUACAGGUGUGAGCCACUGUGCCUGGCCUUUUUUUGUGUUUUUAGUAGAGACGGAGUUUCGCCAUGUUGGCCAGGCUGGUCUCGAACCCCCGACCUCAGGUGAUCACUUCAGCCUCCCAAAGUGCUGGGAUUACAAGCAUGAGCCACCAAGCCUCGCAUAUCCAGUGGCUUUUGAUGGCUGAAGUGCAAGUCACACCCCCUCUCUGAAUUGCACCAGGCCUACAAUUCACCAGAUUUGCCAGGCUGGGUGGAAGGAUAUGUAAAUCUGACUCAAUUCACAGCCUCUCUUAACACUUCAAUCAAAAUUGCAUCUAAUUGAGGUUCAUUCAUAAACCUCAUUGACGUAAACAACUGCAAACAUGGAGGAGCCCUCCCCAAAGCUUGAUAAUUACUUCACGAUGAAAACUCAGCUGUCAGAACAUCAUUGUUGCUAUGACAACUAUGAGAGAAGCUGGUUGCCCAGGGUUACCCAUGUUACCAGAUGUCACUGGUGCUUGAGUGUUAGCUUCAAAUGAGCCUCAGGAGCAUAAUGAGAAAAGGCAAUGAGAACUAUAUAAAUGGGUCUGAAUAAGAGAACGUCUUUUUUUUUUUUUUUUUUAAUCUUAAACCCCAAUAGAUUCAGGAAGUAUCUAUCUCAUUACAGGACAAUUGAGUUAUAUCUUGGAACCAGGGAGUCCUAAAAUGACCUAUCCUCUAAAAGGCCUUUCUUUCUCUUUUUAAAAUUCUUUGUUAAAUUUUUAAUAAGUAAUACACAUAUGUGCUUCAAGCUUUAAAAAAUACAAAAGGCGGCCAGGUGUAGUGGCUCCCACCUGUAAACCCAGCACUUUGGGAGGCUGAGGCAGAAGGAUCACUUGAGGCCAGGAGUUCAAGACCAGCCUGGGCAACCUAGUGAGACCCUGUCUCUUCAAAACUAAAAAUAAAGAAAUUACUCUCUGGUGCUUCAAGCAACAUCUCUGGAGAGUCGUGUUGUGUGAAUUGGUUUGUAUACAUUAGUAUGUGUAUGUAUUCACACAUUCAUAUACACUCAGGAUACAGUUGGCCUAAUUAUCAUUGGGGCCAUAGGUAAAACUUAUGAAGAAUGUUCUCAUGCUGAAUUGUAAUUUUCUUUUACCUGUAAAGUAAAAUUUAGAUCAAUCC